rnacentral:lncRNA from 1 species
AUGAUUUGCGUGACAUAUGAAACGCAGUCGCACAUCAACAAGCAGCCGGGCUUCGGGGACGUGGCCAUGGCCUCUGUGGUGCUGGUGCUGCUGAUGGCGACUGAGAGGAACCGGAGGGGAGCGCCCCCCGAGCCCGCGGCUGCCGCCGAGAUUGUGGCCUGUACAUCACACUGGCUUCUUACUCCACCUGUGAGGCCAUCCAGAGUUUGAAGCCAGAAAUCACACACACAUCAUUUAGCAACAGAGUGAUCAAUUUCCCCUCUGUGGGCUUCAGCUGGAGAAGCUUUCUGCCAGGAAGCUCUGGGUCUUAUCCUCAAGGAGAAAGCUGGGAUCAGUGCUUUCAGAGUUCAGACAUGACACAAGGUGCAGAAUGCUUUUCUGUUUCCUCUGAUUGUCAAGGAUUUUUAUUGAAGCCUCACUUAAACCUGCUUUUCUUUCUUUGACACCAUUUUCUGCAGUUAUGUUUUAUUACCAACUAGAGCUUUGCAUUCAUAAAGGCUAAAUUUAUUCCACUAACGUUGUAGAAAUGGGUCUCUUUCAUCCACACACUAGGUCUUCCUGCAUCCC